rnacentral:rRNA from 1 species
AUUGAACGCUGGCGGCAUGCCUUACACAUGCAAGUCGAGCGGCAGCGCGGGGGCAACCCUGGCGGCGAGCGGCGAACGGGUGAGUAAUACAUCGGAACGUGUCCAGUUGUGGGGGAUAACCAGUCGAAAGACUGGCUAAUACCGCAUACGAUCUACGGAUGAAAGCGGGGGAUCGCAAGACCUCGCGCUAUUGGAGCGGCCGAUGUCCGAUUAGCUAGNGGCGGGGUAAAGCCCACCAAGGCGACGAUCGGUAGCUGGUCUGAGAGGAUGAUCAGCCACACUGGAACUGAGACACGGUCCAGACUCCUACGGGAGGCAGCAGUGGGGAAUUUUGGACAAUGGGGGCAACCCUGAUCCAGCCAUGCCGCGUGAGUGAAGAAGGCCU